rnacentral:rRNA from 1 species
GGAAUGGCGAGUGCUUACCAUGCAAGUCGAACGAUGAAGCCGCUUCGGUGGUGGAUUAGUGGCGAACGGGUGAGUAACACGUGGGCAAUCUGCCCUGCACUCUGGGACAAGCCCUGGAAACGGGGUCUAAUACCGGAUAUGACACGGGAUCGCAUGGUCUCCGUGUGGAAAGCUCCGGCGGUGCAGGAUGAGCCCGCGGCCUAUCAGCUUGUUGGUGGGGUGAUGGCCUACCAAGGCGACGACGGGUAGCCGGCCUGAAGAGGGGCGACCGGCCACCACUGGACUGAGACACGGCCCAGACUCCUACGGGAGGCAGCAGUGGGGAAUAUUGCACAAUGGGCGCAAGCCUGAUGCAGCGACGCCGCGUGAGGGAUGACGGCCUUCGGGUUGUAAACCUCUUUCAGCAGGGAAGAAGCGCAAGUGACGGUACCUGCAGAAGAAGCACCGGGCUAACUACGUGCCAGCAGCCGCGGUAAUACGUAGGGUGCGAGCGUUGUCCGGAAUUAUUGGGCGUAAAGAGCUCGUAGGCGGCUUGUCGCGUCGGAUGUGAAAGCCCGGGGCUUAACCCCGGGUCUGCAUUCGAUACGGGCAGGCUAGAGUUCGGCAGGGGAGAUUGGAAUUCCUGGUGUAGCGGUGAAAUGCGCAGAUAUCAGGAGGAACACCGGUGGCGAAGGCGGAUCUCUGGGCCGAUACUGACGCUGAGGAGCGAAAGCGUGGGGAGCGAACAGGAUUAGAUACCCUGGUAGUCCACGCCGUAAACGUUGGGCACUAGGUGUGGGCGGCAUUCCACGUCGUCCGUGCCGCAGCUAACGCAUUAAGUGCCCCGCCUGGGGAGUACGGCCGCAAGGCUAAAACUCAAAGGAAUUGACGGGGGCCCGCACAAGCGGCGGAGCAUGUGGCUUAAUUCGACGCAACGCGAAGAACCUUACCAAGGCUUGACAUACACCGGAAAGCCGUAGAGAUACGGCCCCCCUUGUGGUCGGUGUACAGGUGGUGCAUGGCUGUCGUCAGCUCGUGUCGUGAGAUGUUGGGUUAAGUCCCGCAACGAGCGCAACCCUUGUCCUGUGUUGCCAGCAACUCCUUUCGGGAGGUUGGGGACUCACGGGAGACUGCCGGGGUCAACUCGGAGGAAGGUGGGGACGACGUCAGGUCAUCAUGCCCCUUAUGUUCUUGACCUGCACACGUGCUACAAUGGCCGGUACAAUGAGCUGCGAAUGCCGUGAGGUGGAGCGAAUCUCAAAAAGCCGGUCUCAGUUCGGAUUGGGGUCUGCAACUCGACCCCAUGAAGUCGGAGUCGCUAGUAAUCGCAGAUCAGCAUUGCUGCGGUGAAUACGUUCCCGGGCCUUGUACACACCGCCCGUCACGUCACGAAAGUCGGUAACACCCGAAGCCGGUGGCCCAACCCCUUGUGGGAGGGAAUCGUCGAAUAUGGAUCUGCUUUUCCC